AUUCCUGUAGUGCAAUGAAUAGCACGUUGGACUUCUGAUCCAAAGGUCAUGGGUUCGAAUCCCAACUGGGAUG
rnacentral:tRNA from 1 species